GGUUAAGCGACUAAGCGUACACGGUGGAUGCCCUGGCAGUCAGAGGCGAUGAAGGGCGUGCUAAUCUGCGAUAAGCGCCGGUAAGGUGAUAUGAACCGUUAUAACCGGCGAUACCCGAAUGGGGAAACCCAGUGUGACUCGUCACACUAUCAUUAACUGAAUCCAUAGGUUAAUGAGGCGAACCGGGGGAACUGAAACAUCUAAGUACCCCGAGGAAAAGAAAUCAACCGAGAUUCCCCCAGUAGCGGCGAGCGAACGGGGAGGAGCCCAGAGCCUGAAUCAGCAUGUGUGUUAGUGGAAGCGUCUGGAAAGGCGCGCGAUACAGGGUGACAGCCCCGUACACAAAAGCGCAUGUGCUGUGAGCUCGAUGAGUAGGGCGGGACACGUGGUAUCCUGUCUGAAUAUGGGGGGACCAUCCUCCAAGGCUAAAUACUCCUGACUGACCGAUAGUGAACCAGUACCGUGAGGGAAAGGCGAAAAGAACCCCGGCGAGGGGAGUGAAAAAGAACCUGAAACCGUGUACGUACAAGCAGUGGGAGCACAGGUUUACCUGUGUGACUGCGUACCUUUUGUAUAAUGGGUCAGCGACUUAUAUUCUGUAGCAAGGUUAACCGCAUAGGGGAGCCGGAGGGAAACCGAGUCUUAAUUGGGCGUUAAGUUGCAGGGUAUAGACCCGAAACCCGGUGAUCUAGCCAUGGGCAGGUUGAAGGUUGGGUAACACUAACUGGAGGACCGAACCGACUAAUGUUGAAAAAUUAGCGGAUGACCUGUGGCUGGGGGUGAAAGGCCAAUCAAACCGGGAGAUAGCUGGUUCUCCCCGAAAGCUAUUUAGGUAGCGCCUCGUGAAUUCAUCUCCGGGGGUAGAGCACUGUUUCGGCUAGGGGGCCAUCCCGGCUUACCAACCCGAUGCAAACUGCGAAUACCGGAGAAUGUUAUCACGGGAGACACACGGCGGGUGCUAACGUCCGUCGUGAAGAGGGAAACAACCCAGACCGCCAGCUAAGGUCCCAAAGUCAUGGUUAAGUGGGAAACGAUGUGGGAAGGCCCAGACAGCCAGGAUGUUGGCUUAGAAGCAGCCAUCAUUUAAAGAAAGCGUAAUAGCUCACUGGUCGAGUCGGCCUGCGCGGAAGAUGUAACGGGGCUAAACCAUGCACCGAAGCUGCGGCAGCGACGCUUAUGCGUUCGUUGGGUAGGGGAGCGUUCUGUAAGCCUGUGAAGGUGGCCUGUGAGGGUUGCUGGAGGUAUCAGAAGUGCGAAUGCUGACAUAAGUAACGAUAAAGCGGGUGAAAAGCCCGCUCGCCGGAAGACCAAGGGUUCCUGUCCAACGUUAAUCGGGGCAGGGUGAGUCGACCCCUAAGGCGAGGCCGAAAGGCGUAGUCGAUGGGAAACGGGUUAAUAUUCCCGUACUUGGUGUUACUGCGAAGGGGGGACGGAGAAGGCUAUGUUGGCCGGGCGACGGUUGUCCCGGUUUAAGCGUGUAGGUGUGUGUUCCAGGUAAAUCCGGUUCACUUUAACACUGAGGCGUGAUGACGAGGCACUACGGUGCUGAAGCAACAAAUGCCCUGCUUCCAGGAAAAGCCUCUAAGCAUCAGGUAACAUCAAAUCGUACCCCAAACCGACACAGGUGGUCAGGUAGAGAAUACCAAGGCGCUUGAGAGAACUCGGGUGAAGGAACUAGGCAAAAUGGUGCCGUAACUUCGGGAGAAGGCACGCUGACAUGUAGGUGAAGUGAUUUACUCAUGGAGCUGAAGUCAGUCGAAGAUACCAGCUGGCUGCAACUGUUUAUUAAAAACACAGCACUGUGCAAACACGAAAGUGGACGUAUACGGUGUGACGCCUGCCCGGUGCCGGAAGGUUAAUUGAUGGGGUCAGCGCAAGCGAAGCUCCUGAUCGAAGCCCCGGUAAACGGCGGCCGUAACUAUAACGGUCCUAAGGUAGCGAAAUUCCUUGUCGGGUAAGUUCCGACCUGCACGAAUGGCGUAAUGAUGGCCAGGCUGUCUCCACCCGAGACUCAGUGAAAUUGAACUCGCUGUGAAGAUGCAGUGUACCCGCGGCAAGACGGAAAGACCCCGUGAACCUUUACUAUAGCUUGACACUGAACAUUGAGCCUUGAUGUGUAGGAUAGGUGGGAGGCUUUGAAGUGUGGACGCCAGUCUGCAUGGAGCCGACCUUGAAAUACCACCCUUUAAUGUUUGAUGUUCUAACGUGGACCCGUGAUCCGGGUUGCGGACAGUGUCUGGUGGGUAGUUUGACUGGGGCGGUCUCCUCCUAAAGAGUAACGGAGGAGCACGAAGGUUGGCUAAUCCUGGUCGGACAUCAGGAGGUUAGUGCAAUGGCAUAAGCCAGCUUGACUGCGAGCGUGACGGCGCGAGCAGGUGCGAAAGCAGGUCAUAGUGAUCCGGUGGUUCUGAAUGGAAGGGCCAUCGCUCAACGGAUAAAAGGUACUCCGGGGAUAACAGGCUGAUACCGCCCAAGAGUUCAUAUCGACGGCGGUGUUUGGCACCUCGAUGUCGGCUCAUCACAUCCUGGGGCUGAAGUAGGUCCCAAGGGUAUGGCUGUUCGCCAUUUAAAGUGGUACGCGAGCUGGGUUUAGAACGUCGUGAGACAGUUCGGUCCCUAUCUGCCGUGGGCGCUGGAGAACUGAGGGGGGCUGCUCCUAGUACGAGAGGACCGGAGUGGACGCAUCACUGGUGUUCGGGUUGUCAUGCCAAUGGCACUGCCCGGUAGCUAAAUGCGGAAGAGAUAAGUGCUGAAAGCAUCUAAGCACGAAACUUGCCCCGAGAUGAGUUCUCCCUGAGACUUAAAGUCUCCUGAAGGAACGUUGAAGACGACGACGUUGAUAGGCCGGGUGUGUAAGCGCAGCGAUGCGUUGAGCUAACCGGUACUAAUGAACCGUGAGGCUUAACCUU
rnacentral:rRNA from 1 species